rnacentral:tRNA from 1 species
GUCCCCGUAGCCCAACCCGGUAGAGGCGGCCGGCUUAAACCCGGUCCAGGUGCGGGUUCGACUCCCGCCGCGGGCAC